rnacentral:rRNA from 1 species
CCUACGGGUGGCAGCAGUGGGGAAUAUUGCGCAAUGGGCGAAAGCCUGACGCAGCAACGCCGCGUGAGGGAUGAAGGUCUUCGGAUCGUAAACCUCUGUCAGCAGGGAAGAACAGUAACUGUACUAAUCAGCCGUGAAUUGACGGUACCUGCAAAGGAAGCACCGGCUAACUCCGUGCCAGCAGCCGCGGUAAUACGGAGGGUGCGAGCGUUAAUCGGAAUUACUGGGCGUAAAGCGAUCGUAGGCGGUAUGUCAAGUCAAGGGUGAAAUCCCCGCGCUCAACGUGGGAGGUGCCUUGGAAACUGGGAAACUGGAGUGUGUGAGAGGAUAGUGGAAUUCCAGGUGUAGGAGUGAAAUCCGUAGAUAUCUGGAGGAACAUCAGUGGCGAAGGCGACUAUCUGGCACAUAACUGACGCUGAGGAGCGAAAGCGUGGGUAGCAAACAGGAUUAGAUACCCGGGUAGUC